CAUCGCGGCUCCAGUUUCGUUCGGAUGUUCAAGACGAUCAGUAGAAGGCCGGAAUAACACUUCAGUUACGAUUGCAAAACGAAAACCAUAAUUUAAGGUGGUGCCAACCAGAGCCUCUCUGAGCACUAAACCAACAACUUCAACUGUUCAUAGUUCGAUCACAGUUUGCAUGUACAUAAAUAUAUAUGUAUGUAACUAUGUGCUUAUUCGUGCUCACAUUAUCAUCUAUAAAUAAUUAACUCAUCGAAACUCGCAUUUCAGUUGAUUCCAUUCAACAGCCUAAACCUGUUGAUGGCUGUGAGCGCGCGCGCGUGUGCAUCAAGUAAUUCGUUCCCCGGUACACAUACAUAUAUAACGACAUAAAUACCAAGAAAAUAGUAAUAUAUAAAAAUAAGCGUUGAAAAGUGUAUUUAGUGUGUUUUGUAUUAAAACAAAUUUUUAUAAAUAUAUACAGGUAAACAGAAAGAAAGCAGUUGCAAUGAAUAAAUUAAUAAACUUUUA